rnacentral:rRNA from 1 species
UACGUAGGGUGCAAGCGUUAAUCGGAAUGACUGGGCGUAAAGGGUGUGUAGGCGGUUUGUUAAGUCUGAUGUGAAAUCCCCGGGCUCAACCUGGGAACUGCGUUGGAAACUGGCAAACUAGAGUACGGAAGAGGGGGGUGGAAUUCCACGUGUAGCGGUGAAAUGCGCAGAUAUCAGGAAGAACACCCGUGGCGAAGGCGGCUCUCUGGGACGGUACUGACGCUGAGACGCGAAAGCGUGGGGAGCGAACAGG